AGGCUUCCACCAAAUUUGAUCUCUCAGAUGAACUGAAUCAAAUUCUAUCUCUUGAAGACGAUGGUGAUUGGUUUGUCAACGUAGACCAGGCACAAGAUAUUAAUCCAGAUAUUAGAGACUGUUCGAUUUUGGACACACAGGUUGAUGACGACUUCAUGAACUCUAUAUUCAACAGUUUUAUGAAUUGAGAAGGGUUCUCUGAGCUGAUGUUCUUAAAGGGAAGUGAUAGAAAAAAAAGCUAUGGCGAUACUUAGCUAAUAGUUUUCUAAGAAAAAAUAUAUGCAAUCGUAGAAGUAUGGGUUUGGUUAUGUAAUAUAUUUUUAA